AGUGAACGCUGGCGGUAGGCCUAACACAUGCAAGUCGAGCGGCAGCACAGUAAGAGCUUGCUCUUACGGUUGGCGAGUGGCGGACGGGUGAGGCAUACAUCGGAAUCUACUUUUUCGUGGGGGAUAACGUAGGGAAACUGACGCUAAUACCUCAUACGACCUACGGGUGAAAGCAGGGGAUCUUCAGACCUUGCGCGAUUGAAUGAGCCGAUGUCGGAUUAGCUAGUUGGCGGGGUAAAGGCCCACCAAGGCGACGAUCCGUAGCUGGUCUGAGAGGAUGAUCAGCCACACUGGAACUGAGACACGGUCCAGACUCCUACGGGAGGCAGCAGUGGGGAAUAUUGGACAAUGGGCGCAAGCCUGAUCCAGCCAUACCGCGUGGGUGAAGAAGGCCUUCGGGUUGUAAAGCCCUUUUGUUGGGAAAGAAAAGCAGUAGGUUAAUCCCCCGCUGUUCUGACGGUACCCAAAGAAUAAGCACCGGCUAACUUCGUG
rnacentral:rRNA from 1 species